UAAUUUCACUUUGUCCCAUUUUAUCACAUUCAGUGAUCAUAUAUGUGCUACAACUCGUUGCUAGAAACUUUACCUAAAACCAGCUUAUCAUCAAAAAAUACAUGCUACGGUUAAAACCUUGUCGGAUGAAUUACUUAUCAAAAGAAAAUUACCCUUGUCUUUUUCAUCACUAUCCACAUCUGCAAAUUAAUUACUUCUUGAAGUGAUAAAAGGUGUUCUCUUUAGCUUUAAGAUAUCUCUACUUCUUCGAAGGUAAUGAUAUGGACUGCGUGCAUUUUACUCUCCCCAAAUCCCACUUUAGAAUAUCCCUUUGAUUCCAGUAUCUUAACUGUACUAUUUUAACAUGUUCAUUUAUAACGCCAGUAGUAGCCAAAGUUAUGUACGGCUUGACAUUACUAGUUUUUGUAUGAUUGCAAGUAUCUCGGUGAGUCAUGCUUGUUCAACCUGAUAAAAGAAAACAGUAAUCAGAUAACUCCCCCAGUCAAAAAUAGUGCUAAAAAGGAAUCCUAAAAAGUAUUUCAAAGAUAAGAGUGAAUCAGGAAAAAUCAAAGCUCCGUACCUGCUACUCUUUUUUUAGUAACCUAACCGUUCUGCCAACAAGGACUACAAUCACAAGGAAAAGAAACAACUAUUUAUCCGUAACUUCUCCAUGUUUAUAUUGGGUCCACUUCAUUGCUCUUUUAUUUUUCUUCAGAGACCAUUUCCUGAUAAUGGGGAACAUCUGACUGAAGAUACUAUAGCCUUCUUUCCUGCUACUGAUAGGCUUGAGCAUUAUAUAAUGCAAGUUAUCAUAUCUACUUGUGCCGAUGGAACAUCAGAUGCUUAUUACAGAAAGUUAAAUUUGUUCAAGAUUGAAACUACGUCUGGCUAUGUUGUUGUACUGAAACUGUGUCUGGGAUGUUGGUACCACGAUGGGUGAACAACUUGAAUGGGCUAUUCAGCAGGAGGGUUAUUGGUCAUGAAGUUUCUUAUAUAAGCUGGUGAGUGUUGCUUCUGGAGUAUGAUGUAACGAAUGUUGGUGCUCAGUGUCGAGCCUGCAAGCUGACCAUUUUUGUAUGAGCUAGAUCAGCGAUCAGUUGCAUUUUCAUAAUGGAUCUGUGUCAAGGCUGUCCCUGACCGCUUCAUAGAGUGCAAAAUAGCUAGACGUUGAUUAUCUGAUCAAACAACAGUGGCCUCUUCUGUUCAUCAUCCCAACAUCAGUAAGUUCAUUUUCAAAGGAAGCUCUGAAGCAACUUGGAUGGGGCAUACGUCCUUCGAGAACAUGUUCAGAGCCACUAAAGCAGAGCACCUGUUCUUGGGAAAAUCUAGUUGGGGUUUAUUAUUUUGCUUUAGUUAAGCUCUGUUUUACAGCUAAUCUUCUACUUCCAGGGCAACCCAACUUACCACAUAUGGAACCGAUAAUUUUCCCUGCUUGGACGCAACAAGUACUUUGUUAACCUUCCUCCCCCCUCCCAAGGAAAAAAGAAAAGCUGAACAAAUAUUUCACUUUUAUGGACGAAUUGGUGCAAAGAGAUCAAUUUAUGAUCCAUUGCAAAUGUUGUCAUAGUUACAUUGUGUUUUUUCUCAGGAGAUGGUUAUAUAUGAGAAGUGAGAUCUUUGUAAGAUCAUUCUAUUCAGUUCAAA